GAUGAAGAACGUAGCGAAGUGCGAUAACUAGUGUGAAUUGCAUAUUCAGUGAAUCAUCGAGUCUUUGAACGCAACUUGCGCUCAAUGGUAUUCCAUUGAGCACGCCUGUUUCAGUAUCAAAAACACCCCACAUUCAUAAUUUUGUUGUGAAUGGAAAUGAGAGUUUCGGCUUUAUUGCUGAAUUCUUUAAAAUUAUUAGGCCUGAACUAUUGUUCUUUCUGCCUGAACAUUUUUUUAAUAUAAAGGAAUGCUCUAGUAAAAAGACUAUCUCUGGGGCCUCCCAAAUAAAUCAUUCUUAAAUUUGAUCUGAAAUCAGGCGGGAUUACCCGCUGAACUUAAGCAUAUCAAUAAGCGGAGGA
rnacentral:misc_RNA from 1 species